rnacentral:rRNA from 1 species
UACGGAGGGUGCAAGCGUUUAAUCGGAAUUACUGGGCGUAAAGCGUGCGUAGGCGGUUCGUUAAGUCUGUUGUGAAAGCCCCGGGCUCAACCUGGGAAUGGCAAUGGAUACUGGCGAGCUAGAGUGUGUCAGAGGAUGGUGGAAUUCCCGGUGUAGCGGUGAAAUGCGUAGAGAUCGGGAGGAACAUCAGUGGCGAAGGCAGCUCGCUGGGACGUAACUGACGCUGAGACGCGAAAGCGUGGGGAGCAAACAGG